rnacentral:lncRNA from 1 species
UUUACUUCUUAUUGUACUUCUAUUAAAUUUCAAUAUGCCAGGCUAGUUUACAUCUUGCAUGUUCUAUAUUUUAUUGAAAACAAUUGUAACAACAAUUCAUCUUCAAAUAAUUUGUAAGCACUUUCUCAACAGUCCCAUCCUCACAUCUCAUAGUUGAAGAGAGGCUAGCAGUUCGUUAAAAUGUAGUUUUUUUAGCAUACUGAAUCUGUUAAAACCUUGGCGAGCCCUAAUUUCUUUAAAAAUAAAAAAUACAAAAAAUAAG